rnacentral:rRNA from 1 species
AACGAACGCUGGCGGCGUGCCUAAUACAUGCAAGUCGAGCGAGAAAGUCUCUUCGGAGAUGAGUAAAGCGGCGCACGGGUGAGUAACACGUGGGCAAUCUGCCCUCGAGUCUGGGAUAACCCGGGGAAACUCGGGCUAAUACCGGAUACGGCUACGGGGUCUUCGGAUCCUGUGGAGAAAGAUGGCCUCUUCUUGAAAGCUAUCUCUCGAGGAUGAGCCCGCGUCCUAUUAGCUAGUUGGUGGGGUAACGGCUCACCAAGGCAAAGAUGGGUAGCUGGUCUGAGAGGAUGACCAGCCACACUGGAACUGAGACACGGUCCAGACUCCUACGGGAGGCAGCAGUAGGGAAUUUUGGGCAAUGGGCGAAAGCCUGACCCAGCAACGCCGCGUGUGGGAUGAAGGCCCUCGGGUCGUAAACCACUGUCAGGAGGAAAGAAAAGUCGGCCGGGUAAUAUUCGGUCGACCUGACGGUACCUCCAAA